rnacentral:tRNA from 1 species
GCACUGGUGGUUCAGUGGUAGAAUUGUUGCCUCUCAUGCAGGAGAUCCAGGUUUCAUUCCCAGCCAGUGCA